rnacentral:rRNA from 1 species
GCCUAAGACCAUACCACCCAGAAUAUCUUGGAAGUUAAGCAAGGUCGAACCUGGUUAGUUCUCGGAUGGGAGACCACCUGGGAAUGCUGGGUGCUGUAGGGU